GAUGAACGCUGGCGGCGUGCCUAAUACAUGCAAGUCGAGCGAACGGACGAGAAGCUUGCUUCUCUGAUGUUAGCGGCGGACGGGUGAGUAACACGUGGAUAACCUACCUAUAAGACUGGGAUAACUUCGGGAAACCGGAGCUAAUACCGGAUAAUAUUUUGAACCGCAUGGUUCAAAAGUAAAAGACGGUCUUGCUGUCACUUAUAGAUGGAUCCGCGCUGCAUUAGCUAGUUGGUAAGGUAACGGCUUACCAAGGCAACGAUGCAUAGCCGACCUGAGAGGGUGAUCGGCCACACGGGAACUGAGACACGGUCCAGACUCCUACGGGAGGCAGCAGUAGGGAAUCUUCCGCAAUGGGCGAAAGCCUGACGGAGCAACGCCGCGUGAGUGAUGAAGGUCUUCGGAUCGUAAAACUCUGUUAUUAGGGAAGAACAUAUAUGUAAGUAACUGUGCACAUCUUGACGGUACCUAAUCAGAAAGCCACGGCUAACUACGUG
rnacentral:rRNA from 1 species